rnacentral:rRNA from 1 species
UACAGGGGGUGCAAACGUUGCUCGGAAUCAUUGGGCGUAAAGCGCACGUAGGCGGUUCGUUAUGUCGGAUGUGAAAGCCCUUGGCUUAACUGAGGAAGUGCGCCCGAAACUGCAAAGCUUGAGUACCGGAGAGGAUGGCGGAAUUCCCCAAGUAGAGGUGAAAUUCGUAGGUAUGGGGAGGAACACCGGUGGCGAAGGCGGCCAUCUGGACGGAUACUGACGCUGAGACGCGAAAGCGUGGGUAGCAAACAGA